UCUGGGCACUGGAUAUCCCUUCUCUGGAAGAUCCCUGACUUCACCACGGCUAAUUGGUCUACUGAUGACAUGACCCCUGAGACAAAAGAAACGUAUCCAGAUGUCCUGGAGAAGAUGAGAGACCCUGUGUCAGCAGUAAGGAGACCUCUCACCUACCAUCAUCUCUUGGAAAGCGAAAGCAGAACAAAGGCUUUUUCUUUAAGGGGAAAUCUACAUCUGUCCCUGGCUGCCAUACAAGUACUGUGUGUGGACAUUCCAUGAGCAGAGUAUUAAAGUGUCCAGAGCUCACCCGCAGGAGACAGGAGAAUCAUAUACGAGGAGCCUUUACAAGUCACCAACAGCUGAUAGUGAGAGAUGCUGAAGUGAUGGAAGAGAAGAGAGCGAGUGAGGGAUGAGGGCCGCUGCUGUGAGUGGUUCUUUGGCAGUGUCUUAGACUGGUUGUUGUGUGGAGUGAGAACGAAGCAAUCAGCAAGUAUACUGCCGCAGAAACUCGUCACCUUGGGAGGCCCCUGCAAACGACCCCGCUCACGCACUCAGCUGCCCACCCGCGCUCAGCUGCUGGAGAGAGAGAGACGAGAAUAGAGUUUGUACUCAUUAUCAAACUUCUCUUUCCAUUCAUUCUUCUUCUAAUUGUGAGUGUCAGCUUCUGUUUAUUGGCACCGCUGCUUGAACAUUCACAGCUACUAGAGAUUUUCAAGUGAAAGACUGAUUCAUGCUUACAAUGUGUUGGAUCAUAUUUUCUGUGACAUUGUAGUCAUAGUUUAGAUCAAUCCAUUGGUUUUAUUCUUUCUCUUCCAUGAGAUCAGGAGUGAUUCAGUCAAGUGUUAUUGUGAAAAUCAGCUGACUAGAUUUCACAGUUUCAGUAUUGCCAUGACGUGGUGUGGCCUGUUAAUAUUUGGCCUACGUAGCUUACAGUCAUGUGACAUAUUCAUAUUGUGUUAUGAUGUGUUUAUUUUGAAAUUUGAAAUUGUUUGUGUGUGUGUUUAAUAACAUAAUAAAACAUUUUAUAAUAAAAUGUUUUGUAAUAUUUGUAUAAAUGAAUAUUUAUUUGAAAAGAUUUUUAGUAGACUGUAUUUUAAUAGUAAUUCUAUGUGAAUGUAUUUUUUUCCAAAUAACAGUAAAAACUAAAAAUGUCAUGUUUUAUUUCUCUAUUUCUGGUGUCUGUUUAGUCUUUAAAGCAGUUUUAAGUUGAGUUUCAUUUUCAGGGAAUUUCAUUAGUGAUGGGGUUUUGCUUGUUAAUCAUCAAAAGGGCAGUUUGUUUAGGUGAAUGAAAUUCCUGUAACUCACUUGAGGUUUCGAUGUAAUAACAUCGGUGUGACAAUAAGUUUCAACUUGUCCGUACUCCGGAAAGCUGGAAAUCAAUUUAGUAGGCUCUUUUACAAUGUAUUAAAGCAAUUUGUUUUAAAUCAUAUGCUAAAAGUGUGAUUAUAAUGCUGUGCAGAGUGUAUGUUGGACACCUUAUAUAUUUUAAUGAGCAAUUAUAGCAAAUUAAUCCAAAUUAACUGUAUGAAUAACCUCAGAUAUUUGUCAGUUUAGUCACUUGCUAGAUUGGAUCUUAACAACGUGAAUUAUGGUUUUUUUUUUUUUUGCACAAAAUGCAUGAUAAAUGCCUGGGGCAAACUCCCAACAAACGUCUCUAGUUGUUUCAGUUGUAUGAUUUACCCAGACAUAGGCAGACAGUAUUUUGCAUUUUAUUCUAGUUUAUCUCUGGAGUCUGUAUUGUAUUAUGUUAUAUUAUAUAUGAUAACAGAUUCAAAUUGAACUUGAACAUAUCAGUAUACAAAAUAGAUGUUUUUACUUAGUCCUUAAAUGAAUUUAACAUUGAAUUACACAACAUAAUAAUAUGUAUUAAAACAUAUAUUAUUCAACACAUUUAAAAUAUAACGAUUCCCUCUGCUAAAGGCCUCAUCAUUUACGCUCCCUUUGAACAGACUUUAGACUGCAUCUUCACACUUACUGGCAGAAUUUGAGAAUUCAUUUAAUUAAUUAUGGAUGGAUGCAUGGCAGAAGAAUACAGAGUGCUGAUGUCAAAUUUAUGCUGGUGAUGUCUGUCAAGCCUAAAGGUAUUUUUGAGGGCAAAAAAGACACCUUUGCACUUUAUUUAAUCAUAACAAUCACAUUGAGUAAUGAGAAGAUUAAGAGACACUGAACUUCCUCUAAAUAACACUCUGAAUGCAAGGCUCACAGAAGUGAGGGGAAGAAAACUUUGGAUUGCUUUUAAUGGAGGAUCAAGCAAAGCAUUGAUUUUUCUUUUCUCUUCUCCACUGUCUUCUUCUCAGCUUUAAAUAAACAAUGUACCGAAUUGGGACAGAAUGCUGCAGUUCUACAGGAAACAGUAUUCUAAGAAAACAUUAUUGCUCUACUGGUGACAUUGUGAUAAAAGGAGAUGUGUUUACCUAAAAGUGUGUGUGUGUGUGUGUGUGUGUGUGUGUGUGUGUGUGUGUGUGUGUGUGUGUGUGUGUGUGUUUAUGUGUAUGUGUGAUAAAAGCACCAUCCCUCUCCAAAAAACUUUCAGUAAGAUAGAUCAUAAGAGGAGUGAUAUAAAGAGGUUAAAGAAAAGAGACCAAGCUCUUGAAGCUUUAUAGAAGUUCACAUUGCGCCAUCUAAUGGCGUAUUAUAGUGAUUGCAUGUAUUUAACUGUCAAUAAUUGCAGUUACAUUUACAAUGACGCAUUCCUUGCACACAUAAUUUAGCAUAACUCUAAACACAGUUCCAGUUUGAAUGUUGGAAUGCAGUUCCAUAUAAUAAUAUUUCCGGAUGAAUAAAAUUUGUUGACAAGGAUUAACAUUCUGAAGAAAGACUGUUGGGAAUCUAUGUCUACAGUCAGUAUGCUACUUUGUGCUGGUGUUUUGUUUGUGAACUGGUCGUUGUUUCAGAAUCAGUUUUUUAAGUGAAUCAAAUGUUUCAUGAAUAAAAAAAAAAAAAACAACAGUUGAUCUGUAUUUAUUGUCGUUGUUUCAGAAUCAGUUUUUUUAAGUGAAUCAAAUGUUUCAUGAUAAAAAAAAAAAAAAAAAACAAGUUGAUCUGAUUUAUUGUCGUUUGUGAAGAAAAAUGUUAAACGUUUUCUCUGGAGUCUCUUUUAGUAAAGCUCAAUAAGACUUAUGUCGAGUGAUUCAGUGUUUUUAACGAAUCGACUGAGCAAAUGGCUCAAUGUCACCAUCUAGUUACUGUACUUGCGUCACGUUGAAACCACCAGAAAGAGUAGCUAACUGUAUGAAUCAGUUAACGAUUCUGUAUGAAUCUUUUAAGGAUUAAUUCAAAUGAUUCGAAUCACUUGAUGAAUCAGUCCCCAACACUGGAGAAUAACCUUCUCAACCUGUUAAAAGCAAAAACAACAUUCGUGAGUUUGUCAGCUUAGAUUUCAAGGCUGGGAUAUGAAGGUACCCUUACAAAAAAUAAGUUUAUUCAAGUGUGCUAUUAGUAUACUUCUUUUAAACUAAAAAUAGGAAAGUAUGUUUUUAGUUUACUUUUUAUGUACUUCUCAGAAAUGGGCUUUAUGUACUUCUCAGAAAUAUACUUAAAAUGACAUUUAAGUAUACUUGACUUAUACUUACAAAAAGUCUAAAUAUAUUUUAUACCUGUGCUCCUAGAAUCCGUGUUUUCAUUGUUAUACGGUAGAGGGCGCUAGUAGCUACACAUCUUCUGUACAGAAUUAAAAAAAAAAACACAAGUGAAAAAGUACAAAAGAUACUAACACAUGUAAUCUAACACGAUCAUCUGACAUGAAACAGCAUCAAAACUGUAACGUUAUGGAAUAAAAUGUCGACCGAUGAAGAGGUAAUAAUUACAGUCAAGCCGGUGUUGAUCGACUCCAUCUACAUAUUGAUUAUCAUUCUGAAUCCAAUUCAUAGUCUUUUUCAGCUUUUUGUUCGUAAGAAAAAAUGAUUUGCAGCAUUUUACUGUUACUCAUAAGUGUAAUUCAAAUAUUGUGAAACUGCAGCUCCAUGCUAAAGCAAAAUAAAUAUGAUCUGCAUUCUUCUGACUUCCAUUUUACCGCGCUUACACUUACACAAGCCUGUGAACAGUGAUUUGCAAACGAAAACAACAGUUUAAAGAACUCCAAAACGGACUGACUGGAUAGAACAAAUGUCUAAAUGACUUGUGCAUGUGGGGCAAAAAGUUCCCGAAAUAAACCGAUAUGUAUAGCUCAGUCUUUCUUUUCUCUGCGCUUACAAUCUUGGCACAAGCGUGAGGGAGGGCGGGUCCACCACCUUCUUGUAGCCAAUCACACGGGGCUCUCGCUGACUCAUUUACUCUUAUCCGAUUGGUUUAAAAACACAUAAUAUGCCAAAACAUUAAUCUUCAUUUAGUUCCGGAUCGUUCUCGCUGCCAGAAUGGUACUUUUAAUGUACACAUAGGCUACAUUAAAAACAAAUAUAUACCAACUUAAUUAAAACAUGAUACUUUAUAAGUCUUAUGUACACUUCCACAACUCUUACCCUGCGUAUGCAAAUCUGGGAUACGUUUAGUCUUGUUUUAUAAAGUCAAUCAGGUAUAGUGACAAAAAUGGAUACAAACUUCAACAUGUUUUGAUUUGUUGUGAAGACAGUGUUUCAAUGCCUCAGCAGUUGUGAAGAAGCUGCUGCACUGGCUCUUGUGAAGCUUGUUACGCCGCUGGAUCUUAAAGCCCGUCUAGUUUUUCAUGUUAAUGCUUCGUCAAGGGAAAAGAGGACUGGAAAUCUCUUCGGGUUAACGUUACAAGUGUAUUCGAUACUUUAAAUAAGAAUUUACCAAACACCGAACAAACAUACAAUCGAGGCGCGGGUAGAUUUUA
rnacentral:lncRNA from 1 species